rnacentral:rRNA from 1 species
UAACAGGAUUCCCUUAGUAACGGCGAGUGAACCGGGAAGAGCCCAGCUUGAAAAUCUCCAGCCUCUGGCUGGCGAAUUGUAGUCUGGAGAAGUGUUCUCUGCGGAGCUUUGGGCCCAAGUCCCCUGGAAAGGGGCGUCAGAGAGGGUGAGAACCCCGUUGGGCCUGAAUGCCUUCGCUUCACGAGGCGCUUUCGAAGAGUCGGGUUGUUUGGGAAUGCAGCCCAAAGUAGGUGGUAAAUCCCAUCUAAGGCUAAAUACUGACGGGAGACCGAUAGCGAACAAGUACCGUGAGGGAAAGAUGAAAAGAACUUUGAAAAGAGAGUUAAAAAGUGCUUGAAAUUGUUGAGAGGGAAGCGAUUGGAAGCCAUGGGUGCGCCCAGGCACACGCCUGCCUAACGGUUGGCUGAAUGCGCUGGGUGCUGGUCAGCAUGGGUUGGCUGGGCGGGACAAACCCAGGGAUUGUUACCCUGGCUAUGCCUCCUGGCCGACUGAGGUGUGAAUGGCGCUCUUUGAGUCCUUCGGGAACUGCGUCAUCAAGAUGCUGGCGGAAGGCCUUCAAUCGGCCCGUCUUGAAACACGGACCAAG